rnacentral:rRNA from 1 species
ACGCUCGACACCUACGGGAGCAGCAGUGGGGAAUAUUGCACAAUGGGGGGAACCCUGAUGCAGCGACGCCGCGUGAGGGAAGAAGGUUUUCGGAUUGUAAACCUCUGUCUUUGGUGACGAUAAUGACGGUAGCCAAAGAGGAAGCUACGGCUAACUACGUGCUAGCAGCCGCGGUAAUCUGAGCGGGCUGGCAAGGC